rnacentral:rRNA from 1 species
GUGCACCAGGCGAGAAUCUUCGGCAAUGGGGGAAACCCUGACCGAGCGACGCCGCGUGUGGGAUGAAGGCCCUUGGGUUGUAAACCACUGUCAGAGGGGAUGAAAUGCCGGAAAGUUAUCUCUCCGGUUUGACAUAGCCUCAGAGGAAGCACGGGCUAAGUUCGUGCCAGCAGCCGCGGUAAGACGAACUGUGCAAACGUUAUUCGGAAUCACUGGGCUUGAAGAGUGCGUAGGCGGUUUCGUAAGUAGGGUGUGAAAGCCCCCGGCUCAACCGGGGAAUUGCGUCCUAAACUGCGAGGCUGGAGUGAGGUAGGGGUGUGUGGAACUUCCAGUGGAGCGGUGAAAUGUGUUGAUAUUGGAAGGAACGCCGGUGGCGAAAGCGACACACUGGACCUUGUCUGACGCUGAGGCACGAAAGCCAGGGGAGCAAACGGGAUUAGAUACCCCUGUAGU